rnacentral:rRNA from 1 species
GAAAAUUAAUUAAUUAACUUUACUUACAAAUCCACCUUCAAUCUUAGGGUAACCUAAGUAAUCCGUAUAAAUAAAAUUAUUGUAACCCAUUAGUACUUAAUCAUAAGCUUCACCUUGACCUGACAUUUAUGUAUUUAACAAUUAAGAAAAUUAAUUCUAGAAAAAAAUUCUUAUGACGGAGGUAUAAAAACUGAAAACAAGAUCAAGUAAAUAAAAUCGUGGAUUAUCGAUUAAACAACAGGUUCCUCUGAAAAGAAUAAAAUACCGCCAAAUUCUUUGGGUUUCAAGAACAUAACUAAUACUACCCAAGUAAAAAAUUAACACCUAUU